CGGACUGUAGCGCAGCUUGGUAGCGCACCGUCAUGGGGUGUCGGGGGUCGUAGGUUCAAAUCCUAUCAGUCCGA
rnacentral:tRNA from 1 species